AGGGUGUCCCGGUUGGGGAGGGCCGCGCGCCUGCCCCCGGCCAAGCCCCCCCCAUCCCGUGGGGCUCCCCGGGGAGGGCCCCCCAUGCUACUCACGGUACCUCUGGGCAAGGACGAGAUGAGGAGGAGCUGCAGGAAAGCGAGCCCCAGCUGCGUCCAGCAGCCCAGCUCCAUCAUCGCGCAUCUGCUCCAGGUGAUCACAAUUUGGACAUCUUACCCUUCGCACCUGUAGGGCAUCUUCCCGCGAGGCCCCCUGGGUGCGUUCAGCAGCGUGACCAGAUCCUGCCCACCUGCCGCCCAGAUUUUAUUUAUUUAUCCAUGAGAGACACAGAAAGAGAGAGGCAGAGACACAGGCAGAGGGAGAAGCAGGCUCCAUGCAGGGAGCCCGACGUGGGACUCGAUCCGGGACUCCAGGAUCAUGCCCCAGGCCACAGGCAGGUGCCAAACUGCUGAGCCACCCAGGCGACCCGCAAACGGAUCCUUGAAUAAGGAGCAAGAAGGCUUUGCAAGAUAAGAGCUAAUUUUUUUAAAAUCAAUUUCUUGGUGCCAGGCAUCUACAUCCCCUACAUGUAUCAUCAACUCAUUUAUUCCUCAUGAUAAACCUAUCGUCUCCAUUUUAUGGAUGGGGAAAUGGAGUCCUUGAGCAUUCAAUAGUUCAUCCAAGGUCUCACUGUGGGUAAGUGGUGGAGCCAAGGUUUGAACCCGAGCCCAAGGGCUAUAGAUCUAGCCACCACGCUCUACCACCGCUUAGGACGCUCUGAAUAUGGCAUUUGACCUCACAUACAUGUACAAUAGAUGGUAUUGUCCGCAUCGUAUGAAUGCAGAAACCGAGACUCCAAGAUAAAGUGACUUGCUCAAACUGGGUGUUAUUCUGUAUGUUGGCAAAUUG